UGGAACUUGUUAUAUUGGAUGGUUAGGACUAUGUGCUGGAACUUAUCAUAUUGGAUAUCUAGGACUAUGAGCUAGUAAGCCUUUUAGUGUAAUGGUUGGACACUUGGAUGGAGUUGGAAUAUAUUGUGAUUGGAAUCAUUUGCAUAUAUGGAUGUAUUGGAAUUUAUUUUAUGUGUGUUGGAUUGGCAUUUGGAUCAUAUGUGUGCAUUUGGAAUUUGGUUUGAGCUGCUCCUGUUGGGUAAUUUUCACAAUGGUUUGGACUCUCUGGAAACCAUGCUUUUGUGCUAUUGGGUAAUUUUCAUGAUGGUUUCAACUCUCAGGAAAACAUACUUUUAUGAUGGUCUGAACAUAUUUUUCGUGGUGGUGUGCUCUCAUGAAAUACUAUAUUUCCU
rnacentral:lncRNA from 1 species